UACGUAGGGCGCAAGCGUUGUCCGGAAUUAUUGGGCGUAAAGAGCUCGUAGGCGGUUUGUCGCGUCGUCCGUGAAAACCUGGGGCUCAACUCCAGGCUUGCGGUCGAUACGGGCAGGGCUCGAGUUCGGUAGGGGAGACUGGAAUUCCUGGUGUAGCGGUGAAAUGACGCAGAUAUCAGGAGGAACACCGGUGGCGAAGGCGGGUCUCUGGGCCGAUACUGACGUGAGGAGCGAAAGCGUGGGGAGCGAACAGG
rnacentral:rRNA from 1 species